GACUGGCCUGAAGGUAGUGAGUUAUCUCAAUUGAUUAUUCAGUCAGUUACAGAUUGAACUCCUGGUUCUACUCUUUCUCUCCUUCUCACUACUGCACUUGACUAGCCCCCC
ensembl:misc_RNA Y_RNA Y RNA